rnacentral:lncRNA from 1 species
AUCAAACUUCUUUCACGUGUCUUGAGAAUCUAAAUUUUCAUAUCUGUCUUUUAUUAAAUGAACGGUCAUGAUGAAAGUUUGUAUAAUCUGAUCCAACGCUCCUAAGCUGCCCACUUGUUUCAUUCAAGACAUGAGAAAAGGAAGAUAUACAGCUUUCUGUCUUUGACACAGAACACAGGUUGGAAAAUAUCGCCUCUUUCCCUUUCUUCUCUACACAAUCAGCAUCACAAUCAGAGCAUAGAUUAUCACUACUUCCAACAAAUUUUGAAUCUUGGUGUAAUGGUUUCUAUCGAGCUAACUUUUCAAUUAUUACCUUUAGCGUGUUCUAUUCUUUUUCAAAAUAUUUCUUCAUCUAUAAGUACAACACCCCCUUCAAGAUGGAGGGGAGUGAAGUGACCCCCAUCUUUCUAAGAAUCAAUUUGUGGGAAGGACCAGAUAAAGGCUUAGUAAAGAUGUCAGCAACUUGAGAUGAAGAAGGAACAAAAGUCAUAGAAAUCAAGCCGGAGAGAUAUUGUUGCUGGACGAAGUGACAUUCGAGCUCGACGUGCUUCGUUCGCUCAUGAAAUACCGAAUUUCAAGCAAUAUGAAAAGCUGCAUGACUAUCAGAGUGAAGUGGAAUCAGAAGAACAGGUUGAGCAGAGAGAUCGUGGAGGAUACGAUUUAACCAAGUCAACUCAGCAAUGAGGCGUUCAUGGAGCGAUACUCGGCAUUAGAAGAAGAAAGCGAAGCAGAGACCUGCUUUUUGUAUUUCCAAGAGAUUGAAGAGCCACCAAGGCUAAUGAAAUAGCCACUAACAGAUGGACGAGAAUCAAUACACGAGGCCCAGCCAGCAUCACAAAAAUCUAGGAGUGAAAAUGAAGAAUCUACUGACAUGAACAAUCCUAGACCGGGAUCUGUGCGAAGAUAGCGUAUGACACGAAGAGCAGUAGAAAAAUGGGGGUAGACGAGGACUAUGCAUGAAUUGAGACAUGUGUUGUAUGACGAAAGACAAAUUCGGCCGAGUAUGGGUCAAAUAACUAAGCUUUCCAAUAAGUCGUCAAUAACAAGAAGGAUCUGCAAGUAAUUCUCCAGAAUCAACUGAAAGUUUACAAGAAGGGUCCAGGGGAGAAGACACUGAUGUCAAAUGAGCACAAUUGAACUCAGAGAUAAGAUCAAGAGUGAAUUUUCAUUGAGAAACAAUGAGCCCUUGCUGUUCACGAGGACUUCCAAGCCGAGGAAGUAAUGUAAGUCUCCAAGAUCCCUAAUUUUGAAUUCUUCAUGUAAAAAUUCCUUCAACUGGGAAAGUUCUGUAGGAUUGUUACCUGUAAGUAGAAUAUCAUCGACAUAAACUGCUACAAUA